rnacentral:rRNA from 1 species
UAAUAGCUCACUAGUCGAGUCGGCCUGCGCGGAAGAUUUAACGGGGCUCAAACCAUACACCGAAGCUACGGGUAUCAUCUUAGGAUGAUGCGGUAGAGGAGCGUUCUGUAAGCCUGUGAAGGUGAGUUGAGAAGCUUGCUGGAGGUAUCAGAAGUGCGAAUGCUGACAUGAGUAACGAUAAUGGGUGUGAAAAACACCCACGCCGAAAGACCAAGGUUUCCUGCGCAACGUUAAUCGACGCAGGGUUAGUCGGUCCCUAAGGCGAGGCUGAAAAGCGUAGUCGAUGGAAAACAGGUUAAUAUUCCUGUACUUCUGGUUAUUGCGAUGGAGGGACGGAGAAGGCUAGGCCAGCUUGGCGUUGGUUGUCCAAGUUUAAGGUGGUAGGCUGGAAUCUUAGGUAAAUCCGGGAUUCUAAGGCCGAGAGCUGAUGACGAGUGUUCUUUUAGAACACGAAGUGGUUGAUGCCAUGCUUCCAAGAAAAGCUUCUAAGCUUCAGGUAACCAGGAACCGUACCCCAAACCGACACAGGUGGUUGGGUAGAGAAUACCAAGGCGCUUGAGAGAACUCGGGUGAAGGAACUAGGCAAAAUGGCACCGUAACUUCGGGAGAAGGUGCGCCGGUGAGGGUGAAGCAUUUACUGCGUAAGCCCACGCCGGUCGAAGAUACCAGGCCGCUGCGACUGUUUAUUAAAAACACAGCACUCUGCAAACACGAAAGUGGACGUA